rnacentral:piRNA from 1 species
UAGGAUGGUUUUCCCUGUGAGGUAC